UACGUAGGGUCCGAGCGUUGUCCGGAAUUAUUGGGCGUAAAGAGCUCGUAGGCGGUUUGUCGCGUCUGCUGUGAAAUCCCGAGGCUCAACCUCGGGCCUGCAGUGGGUACGGGCAGACUGGAGUGCGGUAGGGGAGAAUGGAAUUCCUGGUGUAGCGGUGGAAUGCGCAGAUAUCAGGAGGAACACCCAUGGCGAAGGCAGCAAACUGGGCAUUAACUGACGCUGAGGCGCAAAAGCGUGGGUAGCAAACGAG
rnacentral:rRNA from 1 species